rnacentral:rRNA from 1 species
UACUACCGAAGCUACGGCAUCAGUAAUGAUGGGUAGGGGAGCUUCCCAUACGGGUUGAAGCAUGACCGUAAGGACAUGUGGACAGUAUGGGAGUGAGAAUGUUGGCAUGAGUAGCGAGAUGUGGGUGAGAAUCCCACAGGCCGUAAACCCAAGGUUUCCAGGGGAAGGUUCGUCCGCCCUGGGUUAGUCGGGACCUAAGCUGAGGCCGAAAGGCGUAGGUGAUGGACAACAGGUUGAUAUUCCUGUACUACCGAUAACCGUUUGAGAGAAGGGAUGACACAGUAGGAUAAGCUAAGCACACUGUUGGUUAUGUGUGCCCAAGCAUUGAGGCAGUCAAAGUAGGCAAAUCCGCUUUGAUAAUGCUGGGAUGUGAUGGGGAGCGAAAUUUAGUAGCGAAGUAGCUGAUUUCACACUGUCAAGAAAAGUCUCUAUCGAGGUUAAAGGUACCCGUACCGCAAACCGACACAGGUGGGUGAGGAGAGUAUCCUAAGGCCAGCGAGAGAACUGUUGUUAAGGAACUCGGCAAAAUGACCCCGUAACUUAGGGAUAAGGGGUGCCACCAUCAGGUGGCCGCAGAGAAUAGGCCCAAGCGACUGUUUACCAAAAACAUAGGUUUCUGCUAAGUCGCAAGACGAUGUAUAGGAGCUGACGCCUGCCCGGUGCUGGAAGGUUAAGGGGAUCUGUUAGAGCAAUCGAAGCAGUGAACUUAAGCCCCAGUAAACGGCGGCCGUAACUAUAACGGUCCUAAGGUAGCGAAAUUCCUUGUCGGGUAAGUUCCGACCCGCACGAAAGGCGUAACGAUUUGGGCACUGUCUCAACAACAGACUCGGUGAAAUUGUAAUUCCGGUGAAGAUGCCGGAUACCUGCGACAGGACGGAGAGACCCCAUGGAGCUUUACUGUAGCUUGUCAUUGGGUCGUGGUACUACAUGUACAGGAUAGGUGGGAGGCUUUGAAACCAGGACGCCAGUUUUGGCGGAGCCAUCCUUGGGAUACCACCCUUGUAGUACUGGGACUCUAACCAUAGGCCAUGAAUCUGGUCUUGGGACACUGUCAGGUGGGCAGUUUGACUGGGGCGGUCGCCUCCCAAAAGG